AUUGAACGCUGGCGGCAUGCCUUACACAUGCAAGUCGAACGGUAACGGGCCUUCGGGUGCCGACGAGUGGCGAACGGGUGAGUAAUGUAUCGGAACGUACCUUUCAGUGGGGGAUAACGUAGCGAAAGUUACGCUAAUACCGCAUAUUCUGUGAGCAGGAAAGCAGGGGAUCGCAAGACCUUGCGCUGAUUGAGCGGCCGAUAUCAGAUUAGCUAGUUGGUGAGGUAAAGGCUCACCAAGGCGACGAUCUGUAGCGGGUAUGAGAGGAUGAUCCGCCACACUGGAACUGAGACACGGUCCAGACUCCUACGGGAGGCAGCAGUGGGGAAUUUUGGACAAUGGGGGCAACCCUGAUCCAGCCAUGCCGCGUGAGUGAAGAAGGCCUUCGGGUUGUAAAGCUCUUUCGGCUGGGAAGAAAUCGUAUCAGCUAAUACCUGGUGCGGAUGACGGUACCGGCAUAUGAAGCACCGGCUAACUACGUGCCAGCCGCCGCCGUAACAC
rnacentral:rRNA from 1 species